GCUUGGUCCAAAGGUGGUGAGUUAUUUCACUUGAUUGUUUGCAGUCAGUGACAGAUUGAACUCCUCCUUCUACGACUGUCUCCCUUCUCAUUACUGCACUUGACUAGUCAAAA
rnacentral:Y_RNA from 1 species